UGUAGUCAUAUGCUUGUCUCAAAGAUUAAGCCAUGCAUGUCUAAGUAUAAAUCUUUUACUUUGAAACUGCGAACGGCUCAUUAUAUCAGUUAUAGUUUAUUUGAUAGUCCCUUACUACUUGGAUAACCGUAGUAAUUCUAGAGCUAAUACAUGCGUCAAUACCCUUCUGGGGUAGUAUUUAUUAGAUUGAAACCAACCCCUUCGGGGUGAUGUGGUGAUUCAUAAUAAGCUUGCGGAUCGCAUGGCUUUGCCGGCGAUGGAUCAUUCAAGUUUCUGCCCUAUCAGCUUUGGAUGGUAGGGUAUUGGCCUACCAUGGCUUCAACGGGUAACGGGAAU
rnacentral:rRNA from 1 species